rnacentral:rRNA from 1 species
AUGAUCCAAGUUUUAUCUCAUGACGCAUUCACCAAGCUCUCCGUCACCUUAUGGGCAAUCUGGUCGGCGAGGAGGAAGGCAAUCCAUAAAGGUGUUUUCCAAAGCCCUCAAGCUACAGAUGAAUUCAUCAAAAGAUUCAUGGCUGACCUGGAAAUCAUCAAGGAAAAUCAGCCGGGGGCUGGGAGGCCGGCAACUGAGAGCACGAGGCCAAAAGCCCCACCAGCGGGGUAUGCAAAAAUUCAUGUAGAUGCCGGGGUGUCCAACUCCCAUCGGCGCGGUACAGCUGCAGCAGUGGCAAGGGAUCAGUUUGGGAACUAUCUUGGCAGCUCGUCUCUUGUGAUUGAAGGAUUGCACGAUCCAUCAGCCUUGGAGGCAAUAGCCUGCCGUGAGGGACUCUCACUCGCUGAAGAUUUGGUUAUUCAGAGCUGCGUCAUUGCAUGUGAUGCUAAGCAAGUCAUUCAAGACAUUCGGAGUACAAGUAGAGGGCGGUAUGGUCAGAUCAUCACCGAGAUUAAUGCUAGAGCUGCAAAUAUCAAUUGUAAUUUUGUAUUCGAAGGCCGGUCGGCUAACAUAGAUGCUCAUAGAUUAGCUAAGUUUUCACUUUGCCUAGAAAAGGGUCGCCAUCUGUGGCUCAUCCAACCAUAUAUAUAA